rnacentral:rRNA from 1 species
AUUGAACGCUGGCGGAAUGCUUUACACAUGCGAGUCGAGCGGCAGCGCGGGGCAACCUGGCGGCGAGCGGCGAACGGGUGAGUAAUGCAUCGGAACAUGUCCAUUUGUGGGGGAUAGCCCGGCGAAAGCCGGAUUAAUACCGCAUGAGCCCGAGAGGGGAAAGGGGGGGACUCGCAAGGGCCUCACGCGAAUGGGUUGGCCGAUGUCCGAUUAGCUAGUUGGUGGGGUAAAGGCUCACCAAGGCGAUGAUCGGUAGCUGGUCUGAGAGGAUGAUCAGCCACACUGGGACUGAGACACGGCCCAGACUCCUACGGGAGGCAGCAGUGGGGAAUUUUGGACAAUGGGGGAAACCCUGAUCCAGCCAUUCCGCGUGAGUGAAGAAGGCCUUCGGGUUGUAAAGCUCUUUUGUCCGGAGCGAAACGGUUGUGGUGAAUAUCCACGACUACUGACGGUACCGGAAGAAUAAGCACCGGCUAACUACGUGCCAGCAGCCGCGGUAACAC